rnacentral:misc_RNA from 1 species
AACUGAUACUACCUGCGGGAACCUGCGGAGGGAUCAUUGCCGAUUCAUUCGUGGGGGAGAAGAGGCGACUCUCUCCCCCGACCGACACCUCUGUGCACUCUGGAGGGGACCCGAGAGGGGGCCCUCCUGCUUACGAACGCCUUGUAGUCUCGCGCGUGUCAGAAACGAAAUAAGAAAGAAACACAACUUUCAACAAUGGAUCUCU